rnacentral:rRNA from 1 species
GACGAACGCUGGCGGCGUGCCUAACACAUGCAAGUCGAGCGGAGGUACUUGAGGAGUAAUCUGAGGGUACUUUAGCGGCGGACGGGUGAGUAACGCGUGAGCAACCUGCCUUUCACAGGGGGAUAAGGCGGCGAAAGCCGCUCUAAUACCGCAUGAGACCACGGGGAUGAUAUUCCAGGGGUCAAAGGAGCAAUCCGGUGAGAGAUGGGCUCGCGUCCGAUUAGGUAGUUGGUGAGGUAACGGCCCACCAAGCCAAUGAUCGGUAGCCGGCCUGAGAGGGUGAAACGGCCACAUUGGAACUGAGGGACGGUCCAAACUCCUACGGGAGGCAGCAGUGGGGAAUAUUGGGCAAUGGGGGAAACCCUGACCCAGCAACGCCGCGUGAGGGAAGAAGGUUUUCGGAUUGUAAACCUCUGUUCUUGGAGAAGAGAAGAAGACGGUAUCCAAGGAGGAAGCCCCGGCUAACUACGUG